rnacentral:piRNA from 1 species
UGGACUUCAGAAAACAGUGGCAA